rnacentral:rRNA from 1 species
UACGUAGGGUGCAAGCGUUAAUCGGAAUUACUGGGCGUAAAGGGCGCGUAGGCGGCCUGCUAAGUCGGACGUGAAAUCCCUCGGCUCAACCGAGGAACUGCGUCCGAUACUGGUGGGCUUGAAUCCGGGAGAGGGAUGUGGAAUUCCAGGUGUAGCGGUGAAAUGCGUAGAUAUUUGGAGGAACACCGGUGGCGAAGGCGGCAUCCUGGACCGGUAUUGACGCUGAGGCGCGAAAGCUAGGGGAGCAAACGGG